UACAGAGGUCUCAAGCGUUGUUCGGAUUCAUUGGGCGUAAAGGGUGCGUAGGUGGCGCGCUAAGUCAGGUGUGAAAUCUCGGGGCUUAACUCCGAAACUGCAUUUGAUACUGGCGUGCUUGAGGACUGGAGAGGAGACUGAAAUUCAUGGUGUAGCAGUGAAAUGCGUAGAGAUCAUGAGGAAGACCAGUGGCGAAGGCGGGUCUCUGGACAGUUCCUGACACUGAGGCACGAAGGCCAGGGGAGCAAACGGG
rnacentral:rRNA from 1 species